CCACUCAACCUCAGAACUUGUCUUUUCUAAGGCAAUAAACUCAGCCUCCAUAGUAUACUGAGUAAUGCAAGUUUGCCUGGUAGACUUCCAAAAAACUGCACUCCCACCAAGAAUGAAAACAUAUCCACUAGUGGAUUUCAUCUCAUUUGAACCUGAGAUCCAAUUUGCAUCACUAAAUCCUUCAAGGACACUUGGAAAUCCACUAAAGCAUAAACCAUAGUUAAUGACACCUCUCAAAUACUUAAGGACUCUACAAAUAGUAGUCCAAUGAUCCUGAUUAAGACUUUGGGUGUACCGACUCAAUCUACCAACUGCAUAAGCAAUGUCAAAUCUGGUGCAAUUCAUUAAGUACAUUAGGCUCCCUAUGAUCUAAGUAUACUUUACUUGGGCAACACUAUGUUCUAUAUUUUUCUUCAGCUAUGAGCUGGGAUCAUAAGGAGUUAACACUGGUUUACAAUCAAAGUGUUCAAACUUCCUUAGGAUCUUUUCAACAUAGUGCUCUUAAGAAAGUUUAAGCCCAUUAGGUGUUCUAGUUAUUUUAAUUCCUAGAAUCACCUCUACCUCUCCUAGGUCUUUCGUAUCAAACUUAGAACCUAUGAAUUUCUUGUAAGGUAUUCUAUUUUGAAUAUGACAUGCGAAUAGGAUAACUUCCCCCCACAAGUUCAAGGGUGCUCCUGAACUUACCAACAUUGCAUCAAAGGUUUUAGGACCUAGUUUUUGUUUUUUUAGGUUCAAGGAGAAAAACUUUAGCUAAAUACCCCCACACUUUCAGGUAUGCUAUAUUAGGUGUGUGAAACCAAGGUUUGGUUAAUCUUGAUUUUGAUGAUAACAAAAUUAGGUUUAGAACUAAUGAUUAUAUUUCAAGUGUGAUUAGGCAAGAUGAUUUCCAAAGUGUCAAUCACAAAGACAAAUCAAGCCAAGGAGAAAUCAUGAAGAAGAAGACCACCUCAAAGAGAAGUGUUUUUCAAGACCCAAGCUUCAUAAGAUCUCUUUGUAAGGUUGUUGGUGCACUAGGAUUUUCAUGCAUUACAUUCUUUACUUAUGCACCAAAAUCAUCCAAGAGUUAUUUUGUUUUAAAUAUUUUAAGAAUUGGAUGAUUUCAUGUUUUCAACUAAAACCUUGUGUUAAAUGUUUUUCAAACUUAUUUUUAAAAGGUUUUAAGUUGAAAAAGUUGGUUGUUGAGCCAAAAAAUGGCUCAACCGGUUGAAGAACAGGUCAAUCGGUUGUUCUUGUCUGGUCGAGGACCGAUCGAGGGAUGCCAAAAACUCUCUCUCUCCUAGUGGCCUUCUCUUCCCGGUCGAGGUGAUUCUCUUCCCUAUCGAGGACCAGUCGAGGUCCGAUUGAGGCUCAACGGUCACCUACCAAGCAUUAAAUGCUAAUGGCUGGUCAACCAAUCGACCCCUAGCUCGACUGGUCGAACCCCAAACAGUUAGUUUGACUUUUUUUCUUCUAUAAAAAGGCUCCAAUCUUCAUUGUUUUAUAAGAUUAACCUUCCCAAACCUUUCUUGAAUAUAUUUGAGCCUUGGAAGAGUGUUUUGAGUGCACCAUUGUUCUAAAACUUGCAUAUCUUUAGUGCACCAUUCAAUCAUAGUUUUCUUGUAUCAUUUGAGCUUAAAGUUUUUGUACUAGGAUUUUAUGAGAUCAUUUAUUUAUAAAUCUUUGAGAGGAAGUUUCUCAAGUGUGGGGUAUCACUUGAGGGGUUGUUCAAGAGUGGGAUAUCUCUUGAGAAGUGUAAAGGGUGCUUGGAGCCAAAAGUCCAAGAGGGUGAAUUGGAAUCAUAAUCCAAUUGUAUUGCUUAAAGGCUUGGUUUGGAAGCCUUGAAUUAGUGGAACCUCAAGCUUGGGAUUGAAGCUAGAGGAGAGUGGAUGCAGGUCGGGUUACGUCGAACCACUAUAAAAUCUUGUGUUUUUGCAUUCUCUCUUCCUUACUCUUUUAAUUUAUAUGCAAUUGUCUUUAUAUUGCUUAUUAUAUACUUGCAUAUAAUUGUCUCUUACAUUCACAUAGUUUAAAUUUGCAAAAAUAGACCAUCACCCUAUUCACCCCCCCCCCCCCCCCCUAAGGGUGACUACCAUAAGGUUGGGANNNNNNNNNNNNNNNNNNNNNNNNNNNNNNNNNNNNNNNNNNNNNNNNNNNNNNNNNNNNNNNNNNNNNNNNNNNNNNNNNNNNNNNNNNNNNNNNNNNNUUGGGUUUUUGCCUUUCUUUUUCCUUUAUUUUUUAAAUUUAAAGCAAAUUUUUUUUAUUUUGUUUUUUUUAUAUUGGAAUAAAAUUUUUUUUUACUUUCAAAUAUUUAAAAUUGCAAAAAAUAGCCCUUCCCCUUUUUCCCCCCCCCCCCCCCCCUAAGGGUGACUACCAUAGGUUGGAUUAGCCUAAUUUUUCUAACAAGGUGCAUAGCCCUUCCACAACUCAUUAGGAGUUUUACCAGUUUUCCAGGUUGGUAACAGAUGAAAACCAUCUUUUGGUUUUAGGUCAGUCAAAAUGUGUCCCAUGUUCACCACAUCAAUUGCAGAGAGAACCCUUUCCUGCCAUCUCUUAAAGAAUGUCCCAUUGAAGAGAUCAAUUUUAGAGGUGUCAGGACAGGUGUGAAUUAGGGAAGCUUCCAUUUGGAUUUAUUUCAAGAUUGUUGGAUUUUAAGGGUAUGGAAACAAAAGACUAGCCCAAAAGACACAAACAAAGAACAUAAUGAAUAAAAAGAAAAACUUAUCGGUUGAGGCGUGACAAACACUAUUCUUGAAAUAGAUCCACCCUCCUCGAAGAUGAACUUGGUGCACUAGGGUACCAGUGGUCUACCUCCAAGAUUCAAUAGCUAAAUCUCACCUUGGGUGCACUCUGAAAACGAGAUGUGUACAGCUCGGGUUUUUGAAUGAAUUCCUCCAAAUAGAUGUAUGAAAAUACUCCCUGAAAAACUCUUUGAAAAAAAUCUCUAAAAAAUUGGUAUUCAUGCAUAGAGAUGGGUGACCUGCUUUUAUAGGCCACUAACACAGUCCCAAUGGGAAUCAACUUGUAAUUAGAAAAUGGCACAAAGUGGAAUGUGAUUCUACUUAUAAAAGGAAUGAGACUCCACUAGCACAAUCCCAAUAGACUCUUCCUAAAAAUAUAACACUAAUAGGAUAAAAUAAAAAAUAAUUCUCAAUAGGACACUUCCCAAAAAUAUAAGAUUAAUAGAAUAAAAUAAAUUAAAUUAAAAUUAAUUUCCAAAAAUAAAAAUAAAAAUUAUUUACACUCUUCCUACAAUCCCCCACAAAGUACAAACAUAAUUUUUUUUGGAGGAAAAAAGAAUCUAAUGCAUUAGUACUGGUGCCCAAAGGCUAUGAACUAGUCUUAAGACAAAUAAGUAUUGAAUCACAAAACAUGGUGAAAAUAAAUUUCUAUGAACUAGUGUUUCUUUAUGUAACUCAAGGGACUUUUAUCCACAUUGGUUUUCUCAACUACACUACAAGCUAUACAAAACGGGUUGGCACAAAUAGGCCAUGCGCCCUACCUGGAUAUUCAUGAGAGCUCUAGAGAACAUGCCUAAGUUCUCAUAGGAAGCGGCCCCACCUCCACUCUCAUAUAGGUAAAUCCAUUAAGUAUGUUUCCACAUUUAAACAUACCAUUCAUAAAGAAUAUGGUAUUCAUUAAGAGUAAACACUCAACCUUAGUCAAUGUAAAAUACGCUCUAUCUACACCAUAGGGAUGGACUCUUAUCCAAUAAAAAAAUUAUAUAUAUAUAUAUAUUGCAAAUUUCCUAACUUGAGAAGUCAAAUUUCUUAAAUUAAAUUAAAAAAAAAUCAAUUUCUUAAACCAAAUUAGUCAUAUAAAAGCUUUGAAGAUAAAAUCCGAGGUCAUUUUGAGAUCAAGCAUUUAUGCCCUUAGUGAAUGUAAGCAAUGCUAAAGUCCAAGCCUGGCCCAAGACACACCAAGGUCUAAACCUAAGUUGAAGACAUGUCGACAUCCAAGUUUGGUCGAAGACAUGCCAAGGUCCAAGCCUAAUUUAAAGGCACACCAAAGUCUAAGCCCUAGUUGAAGGCCUGUUAAAGUCCAAGUCCAACCCAUGACAUACUAACGUCCAAGCCCAAGUUAAAGACAUGCCAAAGUCCAAGCCUAAGAUGAAGAAACACCAAGGUCUAAACCCUAGUUGAAGGCAUGUUAAAGUCCAAGUCCAAUCCAUGACAUACUAAGGUCCAAGCCUAAGUUAAAGACAUGUCAAAGUCUAAGCCUAAGAUGAAGAAGCACCAAGGUCCAAGCUCAAGUCUAAGACACUUCAAGGUCCAGAAUCAAGUUGAAGACGCACCAACGUCCAAGCCCAAACUAAGACCCACCAAGGUCUAAAUUAAGGUGGCAUUUGUUUUUUUGGUUUUUUGCUGAAAAUAAUUUGUUUUUAGAAUUUAGGUUGUUUGUUUUUUUACUUUUUCAUGACUUAUUAUAAACUUUUUACUGAAUAGAAAAAGCCAAAAUAUUUAGCUUUUUCUAAAUAGAAAAAAAUAACAUAUUGGUUUUUCUUUACUUUUUAAUACUUAAUAGAAAUAAAAUACUACAAAAACAAACAACCUAAUAUUUAACACUAUUAAACAGUAAGUUUCUAUUUAGAAUUAAGCAAAAAAACAAACACCACUUAAGUUAGGACCUAAGUCAUGUCUCUCAUUGGAAGAAUCAAAGGACUGACUAGAGAUUGUAUCUCAUUCCUAAAGUUAAUAAAUUUUCAAUUUGGCUACUAGUUUUCUUCUAGAAAAAAUUGUGCACAAGAUACUAGCACGAACAUCAAUUUAAGUAGAAUGAUUUGCAUGUUUUUUUUUUCCACAAAACAUUAUUUUUAAGCUCUUGGAAAACGAUGAUUUACAUAUAAAUCAAUAAAUUUAUUAUCUUAUCCUUAAUGAGCCUAGUCUUAGUCUUAACCCUCAUCAUGCACUAAUCUUCCAAUGCUUAAUCAAAUAGGAGUACACAUCACUAAUAGCACGAAUAGGGACUUUUAAAACCCUUAGGCUAUGUUUGGUUGGUAAGAUAUAACAUGGGAUGGGAUAUAAUAUAUCAUAUCCCAUGUUUGAUUAGUGAUGGAAUAUAAUAAGUUAUCUCAUCAAUUAUCCUAUCCUAUGUUUAACCAAACAUGGGAUAGGAUAAGUGGUGGGAGAUAUUAUCCACCCUCUAUUUUUCAUCCCUUUCAAAUGGGAUAUAUUAAUCUCACGGUAAGAUAUGGAAUAUACAUAUCCCAUGCACCAAUUUUUAUUUUUUAUUUUUUAUCAAUUUUUUAUUUUUAAUAUAUUCAUUUUAUAAAAUAAAAAAAUAUUAUAAAUUAAAUUUACAAUUAAAAAAACUAAACAAAUAUAUAUGAUAUAUAAAUUAUUUUUAUAUUUUAAAUAACAUAAAAUAAAAUAAAAUUUGUAAAAUUUAAAUAUUUUAAUAAUAAAUAUUGUUAAAUAUAAAAAAUCAUUUUUUUUUAAAUAGAAAAUAUUUGAAUAUGAUAUUAUUUUUAUUUUAAAAGUGGAAAAAUAAUAUAUAUUUCAUAUUAGUUUUUAUUCAUUUCACAAACUAAAUAUAGAUAUAAUAUAAUAUAACAUAUCUCAUUAGAUAUAUUAUUUUAAAAUAUUAUAUCCAUGUAAUAUGUAUAUCCAAGAUAUCAUAUUCCAUUGAAAAUCAUAUUAUAAGAUAUGCAUAUCCUAUCCAAUGAGAUAUGAUAUCUUAGGGUAUACAAAUCAUAUCCUAUUUUAUUCAGUCAAUCAAACAUAGUCUUAAAAUAAUCGGCUUCCAUGAAAUUAAUAAGAUAAAAUCUUGUCAUUAUUUUUUUUUUCCUUUCAUUCCUCACCUCUCUAUUAACUUUUUGUUUCCUUCUCUCUCUCACACACACACCCCGAAAGUGGUUUUAUCAGAUUGCCCCUUCAUUUAUUAGUUAUAUGAAGAACAUAGCUACAAAGUCUAUAUAACUAUGUUGUCCACAUAAAAUAGAAUAUUUUCUUAAAAUUUCACACAAAACGGACCAUGUUUGAUCUAUUAAACCAGCCUCCAAAAGACCCAUGGCACUCUCUAACUCUAUCUUUUUUUUUCUCUUCCUUUCCUCACUUCUCAUUUAAUUUUUUGUUUUCCUUCUCUCUAUCUCACCAUAAGUGGAUUUUCACCACUUAAUACAAGACCACUUCUUUUCUUUUCCUUUUUUUUCACACUUGAGCCAAUACUUCCCCUUAUUUUCCUUAUAUGCGAAAUAUUGCAUUUCCCUCAAAACUAAGUAUCAACCUAUGACCUCGUGAAUAAAAGGCAUUGCCUUUGCCACCCAACCACAUGUGCUAUGUUAUAUUUACUUCAUAUAACAAUGCACAUGUAUUCAUAUUUCCUAUCUUUUUUUAUAUAUACUAUAUAUUAACUAAAUUAAAAUUAUUAUAAUUAAUUUUAUUUUAUUUAUCUUAUUAUGCAUUUUAUAUAAUAAUUAAAUACAAGACAAAAAUAAAUUUAUACCCCAAUUUUAGCCUCUAUUUUUUUAAAUGUCUUAACUUUAACUGAAUCAUUAAGGCUAUGUUUGGUUCUUGGAAAAUUUGAGAAAAAAUGCUAAGGAAAGAAAAUAGAAGAAGAAAAUAAAAGGAAAGAAAAAAUGAAGGAAAAUGAAAAAGAAGAUUUAAAUUAAUAAAUUAUUUUUAUAUGCUUUUUCAAAUUUAUUUUAUUUAUUUAUCUCUAUUAUAACAAGAUUAAAUAAUUUAAAAGUAUAUAAAUUUCAUUUAAUUUUAAUUAUAUUUAUUUUCUUUUAUAUUUUAUAUAAUGAAACAAAACAUAAGAAAAUCAUUUUUCGCGAAUCAAACAUAGCCUAACUAUUUAAUUAUUUAAUCAUUCAACUUAAAAUAAUUAGAUUUUCAACCCUUUAAAAUGACAUUAAUAUAAUCCACUUCAUUCAUCAAUGAUACCUCAAUUAAAUCAACCUUUCAAAAGUUAAUUUAUUAUAAUAUUAAAUCCAUGUUUUUUAAAUUCAUUAUAACAAUUUCAUAUAAUAUCAUUUUAUUGAGGUUAUCUUAUAAUUACCUAAUAAUUAUUAAACUAAUUCUCAAAAUACACUUAAUAUUCAAAUCUCAAAAAUCCAAUCUCCAAUAAGUUAUUAGUUAAAUUUCCUUUAGAUUUAAAUUUAAUUUCUCAAACUCUCAUUUUGAAAAUUUGACUAAUUAAAUUUGAAAUUUUGUGGCUCUAAAUUUGAUGUGGUUACCAUAAGCAUCUCCUUUUGAAAAAAAUAAUGUCUUGACAAGUAAUGGUAUAGGGAACUCACUGCCCUUCUACUAGGAUUAAACUAAGUCAUAACCAUACUUCUAUUGUUACGGGAAGUUUUUAGCUCCUACUAACAAGAUGUUACUUUUACAAAAAAGACUAUUUAUUUUAUUAAAUAUAUUUAAUAUUAAUACAUUAAUAAAUGAUAAUCUAAAAGGGCUUUUAAGGGAAGUAGGGAAUUUCAGGCGCAAGCUGCCACUGAAGAAGUUUCUGGUGGCAACCUUUUGGGAGUCAGAGCUGAGUGAAAACAAGUGUCCCAAGCAUCCUGAUCCAAAACCAACACGUAUACAACUCAACACCCUCACGCAACAACACGUAGCACCGUCCUCCUUCAAUAAAAAUUAAAACCUUUCCCUAUUAUAAAGACAAGCCUCCGCAUCCUCACACCGGAGUCAUGCUACCUUUGAAUCGCUUCCUUCAGUUCGUCACACAAGCUGUCCUCUUCAUCUUCUUGCUCCACCAAUCCCUCGCUUCUCCAAUUAUACUAUGACUGCCGGAGUUCGAAUCCCCCUUUGCGUCCAGUGCGGCACCCACUCCAACCCCUGCCGCUGCAAGGUGGUGGGCCCGACGCUGGGGUUCUUGGCCUUCGCAGUCGCCGCCAUCGUGGAGUGGCCGGUGGGGGCUCUGGUAUACUGCUUUCGCCACAUGAAGGGUCGCCGUAUCAUGGCUCACCCUGCCGCUGUGGUGUAUCCGUCUGUGUCCAACGCUUUUCCCAUUUGAUGAUCGGCGUGCGCGCGGUGGACGCAAAAACUGUGUAGAUGUGCUGUUCUUGAUCUACUUGCAGUAAUAAUAGUAACAGUAAUCUACGUGGUUGAGUUGUGUAAAUGGUUUCUGGAGUAUUUGGUGAUUAAUGAAACGGAAAAUGUGGUGUUGCAGAAAAGGAAUGUGGAAAAUAUAAACAAAUAUUGCUGCGUGGAUGCCCAUUUUUCAUGCAUGACACGUGUUUUUGUUCCAUCAUACUUUUGGGAUUUUGAUUCCAUCGUAAUAAUCCACCCGGUAUAUGUGGGAAUCAGCAGGGAUUGAAAAAUCGGAAUUUAUCGGCGAUAUUUCGCCGAAAUAUCGGAUAUCGGUCGCCCCGAUUAUCGAUUUCCAGGAAUAUCGUCAAAAAAUCGGCCAACUGGAGGAGGAUUUCAAAAAAUCGCCAAAAAAAUCGCCGAUAUUUCAGUAUUUUUAUCGGGAAAUUUCCCGAUAUUUCCUACCAGUUCAGCCCGCGCAUAGGAUACAAAAUCUGUCCAUUUUUUUUUAAAAAAAAAGACAUAAGAUGCUAUUUGGUAAUCUGAUCAUGAUUUGCAGGCAAAGGUUUUGUUUUUCAGCCUGGCUCAAAAAUCGUGGAUUUAGGGUUCGUGAAAUUUAAAUCCAAUGGCACAACAGCAAAACAGAUCCAGAAAACAGAGGGAGCAAAAGAAAAGCAAUUUUUUGGUUUUCCUUGGAGGUUUUGCAUGGAUUUUCUCGGAAAUCAAACGAGGAUGAAUUUUCCCGGAAAUCGAAUUGGGGAUGGUUUUUCUUGGGAAUCAAACGGGGGUUGCAAAAAUAAUAAUAAUAACAAGAUUAGAUUAGUACCUGCGAGGAUUGAGAGUGGCAGAGGAAAAUAGGGCUUUUUUAGGGAUUCUCUCGUCUGGAGCUUGAUGCCCGAGUGAGAGAAGUCGGUGGCCCGAGUGAGAGAGGUCGGUGGCCCUUUUGAUUUUUAGAUUUAGUAGAGAUAAAAAAAAUAAACAAAUCAUGAGAACAAUUUUCCUCUCUCUAUGUAAAUAAUUAUUAAUUAUCCAC
rnacentral:lncRNA from 1 species